CCAAUAGCGUAUAUUAAAGUUGUUGCAGUUAAAAAGCUCGUAGUUGAAUUUCGGGAUCAAUUUAUUAGUCGUGCUAUUGUACGUACUGGUAUUAUUGAUUCCUACCUUCUGACGAACCAUGAUGUCAUUAAUUUGGUGUCUUGGGGAAUCAGGACUGUUACUUUGAAAAAAUUAGAGUGUUUAAAGCAGGCUCACGCUUGAAUACAUUAGCAUGGAAUAACGAAAUAGGACGUUUGAUUCUAUUUUGUUGGUUUCUAGGAUCGACGUAAUGAUUAAUAGGGAUAGUUGGGGGCAUUAGUAUUCAAUUGUCAGAGGUGAAAUUCUUGGAUUUAUUGAAGACUAACUACUGCGAAAGCAUUUGCCAAGGAUGUUUUCAUUAAUCAAGAACGAAAGUUAGGGGAUCGAAGACGAUCAGAUACCGUCGUAGUCUUAACCAUAAACUAUGCCGACUAGGGAUCGGAUGAUGUUAAUUUUUUAAUGACUCAUUCGGCGCCUUACG
rnacentral:rRNA from 1 species